rnacentral:rRNA from 1 species
AUGAACGCUAGCUACAGGCUUAACACAUGCAAGUCGAGGGGCAGCAUUUUAGUUUGCUUGCAAACUAAAGAUGGCGACCGGCGCACGGGUGAGUAACACGUAUCCAACCUGCCGAUAACUCGGGGAUAGCCUUUCGAAAGAAAGAUUAAUAUCCGAUAGUAUAUUAAAACCGCAUGGUUUUACUAUUAAAGAAUUUCGGUUAUCGAUGGGGAUGCGUUCCAUUAGUUUGUUGGCGGGGUAACGGCCCACCAAGACUACGAUGGAUAGGGGUUCUGAGAGGAAGGUCCCCCACAUUGGAACUGAGACACGGUCCAAACUCCUACGGGAGGCAGCAGUGAGGAAUAUUGGUCAAUGGACGAGAGUCUGAACCAGCCAAGUAGCGUGAAGGAUGACUGCCCUAUGGGUUGUAAACUUCUUUUAUAUGGGAAUAAAGUAUUCCACGUGUGGAAUUUUGUAUGUACCAUAUGAAUAAGGAUCGGCUAACUCCGUGCCAGCAGCCGCGGUAAUACGGAGGAUCCGAGCGUUAUCCGGAUUUAUUGGGUUUAAAGGGAGCGUAGGUGGAUUGUUAAGUCAGUUGUGAAAGUUUGCGGCUCAACCGUAAAAUUGCAGUUGAAACUGGCAGUCUUGAGUACAGUAGAGGUGGGCGGAAUUCGUGGUGUAGCGGUGAAAUGCUUAGAUAUCACGAAGAACUCCGAUUGCGAAGGCAGCUCACUAGACUGCAACUGACACUGAUGCUCGAAAGUGUGGGUAUCAAACAGGAUUAGAUACCCUGGUAGUCCACACAGUAAACGAUGAAUACUCGCUGUUUGCGAUAUACAGUAAGCGGCCAAGCGAAAGCAUUAAGUAUUCCACCUGGGGAGUACGACCGCAAGGUUGAAACUCAAAGGAAUUGACGGGGGCCCGCACAAGCGGUGGAGCAUGUGGUUUAAUUCGAAGCAACGCGAAGAACCUUACCAGGUCUUGACAUCCGAUGCAUAGCACAGAGAUGUGUGAAAUCCUUCGGGACAUCGAGACAGGUGGUGCAUGGUUGUCGUCAGCUCGUGUCGUGAGAUGUUGGGUUAAGUCCCGCAACGAGCGCAACCCUUACUGUUAGUUGCUACGCAAGAGCACUCUAGCAGGACUGCCGUUGACAAAACGGAGGAAGGUGGGGAUGACGUCAAAUCAUCAUGCCCCUUAUGAUUUGGGCUACACACGUGCUACAAUGGCGUAAACAAAGGGAAGCGAGAUUGUGAGAUGGAGCAAAUCCCAAAAAUAACGUCCCAGUUCGGACUGUAGUCUGCAACCCGACUACACGAAGCUGGAAUCGCUAGUAAUCGCGGAUCAGAAUGCCGCGGUGAAUACGUUCCCGGGUCUUGUACACACCGCCCGUCACACCAUGGGAGUUGGGAAUGCCCGAAGCCAGUGACCUAACCGAAAGGAAGGAGCUGUCGAAGGCAGGCUCGAUAACUGGGGUG